UUCAUGUAUAGACAAAGAAAAUUGAAUGGGGUGAUCAAGAGAGUUGUGUUUGGUACUUUGUAUACGACUGUAGUUGUUGAAGACAGUAGAAAGGUCAAGGCAAAGAGACGUGAAUGGGUUUUAGGGGACUACAACAAUUUCCUUAGACGUGGACUAGUUUCAGUACACGAUAUACUUUCAGCAGAUUUUGUCUUUGCUCCUAUAAUCCAUGAGCAACAUUGGUGGUGUUAUGCAAUCAACUGUCGCACACGCCAAUUUUUUGUGCUUGACUCUCUUGGGAGUAAACGACAAGGACGUAAAAGGAUAGACAAUG